AAGCCUGCAGGGCCAGCUCUUGGGCUGCCGCCUCCGGGAAGUCUGCUAUGACUUCCUCCCUCCUCUAACAAGCAGUAAGCUUUCCUGCCCAGAGAGGGGAAUUGACCCAGCCAGGAUGACACAGCAAGAGCACAGGCAGGAGCUCAACAUCCUGGAUCACACUGCUUCUGCAUCCCACACACCAGCACCGACCAGCUAGACGUACUUCCAGAGAAGAACGGCACCAGACAACACGCUGAAUAAAGCAGAGUUCAAGGACAGGGGAGCGAAUCUGUGUGCAGAAGUCAGGCCAACGGUGCCCUUUGGGGAGGACCGACUGGAAAGGAUGUGAUGGAGGCUUCUGGGACCUGGACAUGUCUCUUGAUCUGGGUGCUGGGUCAGACUUGAGCCUUGUUCUCCAGAAGUCCCCAGGGAAAACAACUGUUUGAUAUCCUGAACGUGUGAGGAGCUGAAAUGAAGAGCAACACAGCCCGAGGAUCAAGCAAGCCUUUCCACAGGAGGGGUCUUUUUGGCUGGGCUUUGAAGUAUGAAUAGGAGUUCACAAAGGAGACACUUUAGAGGGGGUUUGACAGAAGGUGAAGCCCAGAGGAGUGAGGGGACAUGCCCAAGGUCACACACAGCCAGGGAAAGAUGGCAAGAGGAGGCGUAUUACUUUACUUGCAAAGGGCCUCAGUUUUCUCACCUGUAAAAUGGGGGUGAGGACUUCCCUGGUGUCACAGUGGAUAAGAAUCCACCUGCCAAUGCAGGGGACACGGGUUCGAGCCCUGGUCCGGGAAGAUCCCACGUGCCGUGGAGCAGCUAAGCCAAUGCACCACAACUCCAGAGCCUGUGCUCCAGAGCCUGUGAGCCACAUCUACUGAGCCCUCAUGCCACAACUACUGAAGCCCAUGCUCCUAAAGUCUGCGCUCUGCAAUAAGAGAAGCCACCGCAGUGAGAAGCCUGCGCACUGCAACGAAGCGUAGCCCCUGCUCGCCGCAACUAGACAAAGCCCGCGAGCAGCAACGAAGACCCAACACAGCCAAAAAAUAAAUUAAUUUUUUAAAAAAGGGGGUAAAAACUGUGUGGGGCUGCUGGAAGGAUGAAACCAGAGUGUAAGUCGAGGGGUCAAAAAACAUGCAGCUGGGGCUGCCCUGGUGGCUCAGUGGUUAAGAAUCUGCCUGCCAAUGCAGGGGACACGGGUUCGAGCCCUGGUCCGGGAAGAUCCCACAUGCUGCAGAGCAACUAAGCUCGUGCGCCACAACUACUGAAGCCCGCGUGCCUAGAGCCCGUGCUCCACAACAAGAGAAGCCACCGCAAUGAGAAGCCCGCGCAGCACAACAAAGAGUAGCCCCCGCUGGCCGCAACUAGAGAAAGCCCAUGCAGCAAUGAAGACCCAACCCAGUCAAAAAUAAAGAAAGAAAAUAAAUUUUUUAAAAAAAUUAUUAAAAAAAAAAAAAAAGUAUCCGCCUGCCAAUGCAGGCGACACGGGUUCCAGUCCUGGUCCGGGAAGAUCCCACAUGCUGCAGAGCAACUAGGCCCGUGAGCCGCAACUACUGAGGCUGCGCUCUAGAGCCCACGAGCCACAACUACUGAGCCCACGUGCCACAGCUACUGAAGCCUGUGCGCCUAGAGCCUGUGCUCCACAGCAAGAGAAGCCACUGCAACGAGAAGCCCGUACAACACAACGAAGAGCAGCCCCUGCUCGCCACAGCUAGAGAAAGCCCAUGCGCAGCAACGAAGACCCAACGCAGCCAAAAAUAAAUUAAUU